rnacentral:lncRNA from 1 species
UUAAACAUUAUGGUUGAAUAUUAAAUUAAGUAGUUGUAUUAGUUGUACCUAAAUACAUGAAUUUUUACACUCUUCCUCGACCUCUUUCUCACUAUCCUUCUGAGCCUUUUCCUCACCCAUUUUCUCACCAUCCUUCUCAGCCUUUUCCUCGCCCUCCUUCUCACCUUCCUCAACCUUGUUGUCAGCCACCACAUCAGUCUUCUUCUUAGUGCCUGAAGACGAAUUGUUUCAUCUCUCAGUGCAAAUCCGUCAUCCAUUCUUUUUAUCAACUUCAACUCCAAUUCUUUUAGAC